GACGAACGCUGGCGGCGCGCUUAACACAUGCAAGUCGAGCGAUGAAACUUUAACAGAACCCUUCGGGGCGAAGAUAAAGUGGAUUAGCGGCGGACGGGUGAGUAACACGUGAGUAACCUGCCUUAGACGUUGGGAUAGCCUCGGGAAACCGGGAUUAAUACCAAAUAAAAUCAUAAUGACACAUGUCAUAACGAUCAAAACUCCGGUGGUCUAAGAUGGACUCGCGUCCCAUUAGCUAGUUGGUAGAGUAAAAGCCUACCAAGGCGACGAUGGGUAGCCGGGCUGAGAGGGUGAACGGCCACAUUGGAACUGAGAAACGGUCCAAACUCCUACGGGAGGCAGCAGUGGGGAAUAUUGCACAAUGGAGGGAACUCUGAUGCAGCGACGCCGCGUGAACGAAGAAGGCUUUCGAGUCGUAAAGUUCUUUUAUAUGGGAAGAUAAUGACGGUACCAUAAGAAAAAGCCCCGGCUAACUACGUG
rnacentral:rRNA from 1 species